UACAGAGGGUGCGAGCGUUAAUCGGAAUUACUGGGCGUAAAGCGUGCGCAGGCGGUGAUGUAAGACAGAUGUGAAAUCCCCGGGCUCAACCUGGGAACUGCAUUUGUGACUGCAUCGCUGGAGUGCGGCAGAGGGGAUGGAAUUCCGCGUGUAGCAGUGAAAUGCGUAGAUAUGCGGAGGAACACCGAUGGCGAAGGCAAUCCCCUGGGCCUGCACUGACGCUCAUGCACGAAAGCGUGGGUAGCAAACAGG
rnacentral:rRNA from 1 species